AUUGAACGCUGGCGGCAUGCUUUACACAUGCAAGUCGAACGGCAGCGCGGGCUUCGGCCUGGCGGCGAGUGGCGCACGGGUGAGUAAUGCAUCGGAACGUGCCCAGUAGUGGGGGAUAGCCCGGCGAAAGCCGGAUUAAUACCGCAUACGACCUGAGGGUGAAAGCGGGGGACCGAAAGGCCUCGCGCUAUUGGAGCGGCCGAUGUCGGAGUAGCGAGUUGGUGGGGUAAAGGCUUACCGAGGCGAAGAUUCGUAGCUGGUCUGAGAGGAGGACCAGCCACGAGGGGGCGACGAGACGGCCCGGACUCCAGAGGGGGGCAGCAGUGGGGAAUGUUGGAGAAGGGGGGAAACCCUGACACAGGGAGGACGCGUGAGGGAGGAAGGCCGUGGGGGGGAAAACGGCUUUUGUUCGGGAAAAAGCCCUCUGGGGUAACGCCGCGGGGGGAUGACGGUACGGUAAAAAUAAGCACGGGAUAAAUGCG
rnacentral:rRNA from 1 species